CUACGGAGGAUGCGAGCGUUAUCCGGAUUUAUUGGGUUUAAAGGGAGCGUAGGUGGGAUAUUAAGUCAGCUGUGAAAGUUUGGGGCUCAACCUUAAAAUUGCAGUUGAUACUGGUUUCCUUGAGUACGGUACAGGUGGGCGGAAUUCGUGGUGUAGCGGUGAAAUGCUUAGAUAUCACGAAGAACUCCGAUCGCGAAGGCAGCUCACCGGGCCGGAACUGACACUGAUGCUCGAAAGUGCGGGUAUCAAACAGGAUUAGAUACCCUGGUAGUCCGUACAGUAAACGAUGAAUACUCGCUGUUUGCGAUACACUGUAAGCGGCCAAGCGAAAGCGUUAAGUAUUCCACCUGGGGAGUACGCCGGCAACGGUGAAACUCAAAUGAAUUGACGGGG
rnacentral:rRNA from 1 species